rnacentral:rRNA from 1 species
CAUGGGUGAUAAGGUCCGUGUUCGAAAGGGAAACAGCCCAGACCACCAGCUAAGGUCCCAAAAUAUAUGUUAAGUGGAAAAGGAUGUGGCGUUGCCCAGACAACUAGGAUGUUGGCUUAGAAGCAGCCAUCAUUUAAAGAGUGCGUAAUAGCUCACUAGUCGAGUGACACUGCGCCGAAAAUGUACCGGGGCUAAACAUAUUACCGAAGCUGUGGAUUGUCCUUUGGACAAUGGUAGGAGAGCGUUCUAAGGGCGUUGAAGCAUGAUCGUAAGGACAUGUGGAGCGCUUAGAAGUGAGAAUGCCGGUGUGAGUAGCGAAAGACGGGUGAGAAUCCCGUCCACCGAUUGACUAAGGUUUCCAGAGGAAGGCUCGUCCGCUCUGGGUUAGUCGGGUCCUAAGCUGAGGCCGACAGGCGUAGGCGAUGGAUAACAGGUUGAUAUUCCUGUACCACCUAUAAUCGUUUUAAUCGAUGGGGGGACGCAGUAGGAUAGGCGAAGCGUGCGAUUGGAUUGCACGUCUAAGCAGUAAGGCUGAGUAUUAGGCAAAUCCGGUACUCGUUAAGGCUGAGCUGUGAUGGGGAGAAGACAUUGUGUCUUCGAGUCGUUGAUUUCACACUGCCGAGAAAAGCCUCUAGAUAGAAAAUAGGUGCCCGUACCGCAAACCGACACAGGUAGUCAAGAUGAGAAUUCUAAGGUGAGCGAGCGAACUCUCGUUAAGGAACUCGGCAAAAUGACCCCGUAACUUCGGGAGAAGGGGUGCUCUUUAGGGUUAACGCCCAGAAGAGCCGCAGUGAAUAGGCCCAAGCGACUGUUUAUCAAAAACACAGGUCUCUGCUAAACCGUAAGGUGAUGUAUAGGGGCUGACGCCUGCCCGGUGCUGGAAGGUUAAGAGGAGUGGUUAGCUUCUGCGAAGCUACGAAUCGAAGCCCCAGUAAACGGCGGCCGUAACUAUAACGGUCCUAAGGUAGCGAAAUUCCUUGUCGGGUAAGUUCCGACCCGCACGAAAGGCGUAACGAUUUGGGCACUGUCUCAA